GCCUUGUUCUCCAGCUAGUGAUGUUAAGCUGCACCCUACCUAACUGCAAAAUCAGGAAGCAUUUUGGCUGAUGUCAACAUUUGCAAGAAGAAAGUAGUAUCUACCCCACCCAUACGGGCGAAACCUUGCUGUUUAAGUAGAAACCAAUUGGGUCCUAGAUCCUGAAGCGGGGAGAAGCUGUAAUGGUGCCAUCAGCGCUGAUUGAUACCGGGGCCUUCAACCUUGUAUUAUUUGAACUAAAGUUAAAAGGGUUUGUGAAAUUUUAUCACUGUUUUUACUCUAACCAUUCUUUCCCCCUCUUUCAGAGUCUGCUGAUUUUCUUUCCUUAGCAAGUAUUGGUUCCUUUGGACAGUGAAGACUCCAUGUUAGACUUAAUUCCUCGGUCUUAAUUCGUCUGGUUUUUGGGUGUUUAUUGUUUAGGUAAAUGUUUUUGGUGUAGGUAAACUGAUCAUCUCUAUAUUAUUCGGGGGUCGGCGUGAUAUCGAAGCAUAUGGACUACUUUUGUUGAAUUAGGUGCCUCUUUUGUUUAGUUUGUGCUGACAUUAGUGUUGCCCUUGGGGGCUAGGAACUGUAACAAACUUUUACCUUGUUCUUAAACCACUAUUUUAUUAAGUAUAACUGUAUAUGGUAAAAUUUUCACUUUGUUUAUA